AGCAAGAUCAGCUAACUAAGCUAUUGGGCUCAUACUCCAAACAUGAAGUCUAAACAACUUCUCUUGCAC
rnacentral:tRNA from 2 species